AGUGGGGAAGGCGGCGUACCUGGAGCUGCCUCGCCGCGUGAGUGAUGACGGUCUUAUGGGUUGUAAACUUCUUUUGUAGGGACGAAACUUAGGGCGUGUCGUGUUUGCAGGUACCGUACCAAUAAGGAUCGGCUAACUCCAUGCCAGCAGCCGCGGUAAUA
rnacentral:rRNA from 1 species